UUGGUGGGAAUCGUGUUGAAGCGGCUGCUAAGAAGGGCAAUACGUACUCGUUGAGUUUGUUAUUUGGAAAAAAUAAGUCGUCUUGAGUAUGAUUCGACCAGCUGACUUGAGCAUAGUUCAACAUUGUCAAGACUUAAAUAAGUCAAAGGUUCUAACUUCAUACUCUUAAUUGAACUCAGAAUUGUAAUAUAUAAAUUAGAUAGAUAGACAUAUAAA
rnacentral:misc_RNA from 1 species